rnacentral:rRNA from 1 species
GGCGGUGAAGGAUGAGCCCGCGGCCUAUCAGCUUGUUGGUGGGGUAAUGGCCUACCAAGGCGACGACGGGUAGCCGGCCUGAGAGGGCGACCGGCCACACUGGGACUGAGACACGGCCCAGACUCCUACGGGAGGCAGCAGUGGGGAAUAUUGCACAAUGGGCGAAAGCCUGAUGCAGCGACGCCGCGUGAGGGAUGACGGCCUUCGGGUUGUAAACCUCUUUCAGCAGGGAAGAAGCGAAAGUGACGGUACCUGCAGAAGAAGCGCCGGCUAACUACGUGCCAGCAGCCGCGGUAAUACGUAGGGCGCAAGCGUUGUCCGGAAUUAUUGGGCGUAAAGAGCUCGUAGGCGGCUUGUCACGUCGGGUGUGAAAGCCCGGGGCUUAACCCCGGGUCUGCAUCCGAUACGGGCAGGCUAGAGUGUGGUAGGGGAGAUCGGAAUUCCUGGUGUAGCGGUGAAAUGCGCAGAUAUCAGGAGGAACACCGGUGGCGAAGGCGGAUCUCUGGGCCAUUACUGACGCUGAGGAGCGAAAGCGUGGGGAGCGAACAGGAUUAGAUACCCUGGUAGUCCCCGCCGUACACGCUGGGGGCUAGGUGUUGGCGACAUUCCACGUCGUCGGUGCCGCAGCUAACGCA